GAUGAACGCUGGCGGCGUGCCUAAUACAUGCAAGUCGAGCGAAUGGAUUAAGAGCUUGCUCUUAUGAAGUUAGCGGCGGACGGGUGAGUAACACGUGGGUAACCUGCCCAUAAGACUGGGAUAACUCCGGGAAACCGGGGCUAAUACCGGAUAAUAUUUUGAACUGCAUGGUUCAAAAUUGAAAGGCGGCUUCGGCUGUCACUUAUGGAUGGACCCGCGUCGCAUUAGCUAGUUGGUGAGGUAACGGCUCACCAAGGCAACGAUGGGUAGCCGACCUGAGAGGGUGAUCGGCCACACUGGGACUGAGACACGGCCCAGACUCCUACGGGAGGCAGCAGUAGGGAAUCUUCCGCAAUGGACGAAAGUCUGACGGAGCAACGCCGCGUGAGUGAUGAAGGCUUUCGGGUCGUAAAACUCUGUUGUUAGGGAAGAACAAGCGCUAGUUGAAUAAGCUGGCACCUUGACGGUACCUAACCAGAAAGCCACGGCUAACUACGUGCCAGCAGCCGCGGUAA
rnacentral:rRNA from 1 species